UACGGAGGAUGCAAGCGUUAUCCGGAAUGAUUGGGCGUAAAGCGUCCGCAGGUGGCUGUGUAAGUCUGCUGUUAAAGAGUCUAGCUCAACUAGAUAAAGGCAGUGGAAACUACACGGCUAGAGUGCGUUCGGGGCAGAGGGAAUUCCUGGUGUAGCGGUGAAAUGCGUAGAGAUCAGGAAGAACAUCGGUGGCGAAAGCGCUCUGCUGGACUGCAACUGACACUCAGGGACGAAAGCUAGGGGAGCGAAUGGG
rnacentral:rRNA from 1 species